rnacentral:rRNA from 1 species
AGAGUUUGAUCCUGGCUCAGAACGAACGCUGGCGGCAUGCCUAACACAUGCAAGUCGAACGCGUGUAGCAAUACACGAGUGGCGGACGGGUGAGUAACGCGUGGGAACCUGCCCAAUGGUAGGGAAUAACUGCGGGAAACUGCAGCUAAUACCCUAUGCUCCCUACGGGGGAAAGAUUUAUCGCCAUUGGAGGGGCCCGCGUCUGAUUAGUUAGUUGGCGGGGUAACGGCCCACCAAGACGAUGAUCAGUAGGGGAACUGAGAGGUUGAUCCCCCACACUGGCACUGAGAUACGGGCCAGACUCCUACGGGAGGCAGCAGUAGGGAAUAUUGGACAAUGGGUGCAAGCCUGAUCCAGCCAUGCCGCGUGCAGGAAGAAGGCCUUCUGGGUUGUAAACUGCUUUUGCCGGGGGAUAAAAUAGUCUUGCGAGACGAAUUGAAGGUACCCGGUGAAUAAGCCACGGCUAACUACGUGCCAGCAGCCGCGGUAAUACGUAGGUGGCAAGCGUUGUCCGGAUUUAUUGGGUUUAAAGGGUGCGUAGGCGGUCAAAUAAGUCAGUUGUGAAAUACGGCAGCUCAACUGUCGAGGUGCAAUUGAUACUGUUUGACUUGAGUAUUGUUGAGGUAGGCGGAAUGGACGGUGUAGCGGUGAAAUGCUUAGAGAUCGUCCAGAACACCGAUAGCGAANGCAGCCUACUAAAGAAUAACU